AGUGCUCAAGCAUUGCUUGGGCUUUUGCUAUAUGUAAAUAGUAUGGCGAAUAAGUGGUGGGUAAGACUGGUGCCAGCCGCCGCGGUAACCCCAGCGCCACAAGUGGCAAUCGCGUUUAUUGGGCCUAAAGCGUCCGUAGCAGGUCUUGUUAAUCUCUUGUGAAAUUGCCAGGCUUAACUUGGCAGAUGGCAGGAGACACUGCAAGAAUUGAGACCGGGAAGGGUUAGAGGCAUUCCUGAGGGAGCGGUAAAAUGCUAUAAUCUCAGGAGGACCACCGGUGGCGAAGGCGUCUAACUAGAACGGGUCUGACUGUGAGGGACGAAAGCUAGGGGAGCAAAACGGAUUAGAUACCCGAGUAGUCCUAGCUGUAAACGCUGUGAGCUAGGUGUCGCGCAUUCUACGGGAAUGCGCGGUGUCGAAAGGAAGCUAUUAAGCUCACCGCCUGGGAAUUACGGUCGCAAGACUGAAACUUUAAGGAAUUGGCGGGGGCGCACCACAAGGGGUGCGGCGUGCGGUUCAAUCUAACUCAACGCAGAACACCUUACUAGGGGCGACGGCAGAAUGAAGGUCAUGCUGAAGACAUUACCUGACGAGCCGAGAGGUGGUGCAUGGCCGUCGUCAGCUCGUGCUAUGAAGUGUCCAGUUAAGUCUGGCAACGAGCGAGACCUGUAUCUGCAAUUGCUCACGGCACUUAGGUGGACCGAGCACAUUGCAGGGACUGCCUUGGAAACAAGGAGGAAGGUGCAGGCUACGGUAGGUCUGUAUGCCCCGAAUCCCCUAGGCUACACGCGCGCAACAAUGGUAGGGACAAUGGGAUGCAACUCCGAAAGGAGAAGCUAAACCUCUAAACCCUAUCCAAGUCUGGAUUGAGGGUUGCAACCCACCCUCAUGACAUCGGAAUCCCUAGUAAUCAGGUUUCAUCAUAGCCUGGUGAAUAUGUCCCUG
rnacentral:rRNA from 1 species